AGGGUUUGAUCCUGGCUCAGAGCGAACGCUGGCGGCGUGGCUUAGGCAUGCAAGUCGAGCGAGAAACCGGGGGCAACUCCGGUAGUAAAGCGGCGAAAGGGUGAGGAUUAUAUCGACAACCUACCCCGAUGACCGGGACAACGACUGGAAACGGUCGCUAAUACCGGAUGGCCCCGCAGGGAGGCAUCUUCCCGCGGGUAAAUGGAGGGGACCUUUAGGCCUUCCGCAUCGUGAGGGGUCGAUAUCCUAUCAGCUAGUUGGCGGGGUAAUGGCCUACCAAGGCGACGACGGGUAGCCGGACUGAGAGGUUGGCCGGUCACACUGGGACUGAGACACUGCCCAGACUCCUACGGGAGGCUGCAGUCGCGAAUAUUCCGCAAUGGGCGAAAGCCUGACGGAGCGACGCCGCGUGUGGGAUGAAGGCCUUCGGGUUGUAAACCACUGUCACGCGUUAUGAACACCGGGGCGAUAAUAUCAAUCCGGAUGACAAAGGCGCGAGAGGAAGCCACGGCUAACUCUGUGCCAGCAGCCGCGGUAAGGCAGAGGUGGCAAGCGUUGCUCGGAGUUACUGGGCAUAAAGGGCGCGUAGGCGGUCGUGCACGUCGAGGGUGAAAUCCCCGGGCUUAACCCGGGAACUGCCUUUGAUACGGCGCGACUCGAGUGCGGGAGGGGAGAGUGGAACUCCUGGUGGAGCGGUGAAAUGCGUAGAUAUCAGGAGGAACGCCGGUGGCGAAAGCGACUCUCUGGUCCGCAACUGACGCUGAGGCGCGAAAGCUAGGGGAGCAAACGGGAUUAGAUACCCCGGUAGUCCUAGCCCUAAACUAUGAGCACUAGGUAGCGGCAGGUCCGACUUGUCGCUGCUGAAGCAAAUGUAUUAAGUGCUCCGCCUGGGGAGUAUGGCCGCAAGGCUAAAACUCAAAGGAAUUGACGGGGGCUCACACAAGCGGUGGAGGAUGUUGCUCAAUUCGAAUCAACGCGAAGAACCUUACCUGGGCUUGACAUGCUGGUAGUAGGAACCGGAAACGGCAACGACCAUCGCAAGAUGGAGCCAGCACAGGUGUUGCAUGGCUGUCGUCGGCUCGUGCCGUGAGGUGUUGGGUUAAGUCCCGUAACGAGCGAAACCCCUGCCUCUAUUUGCCAACAGGUAAUGCUGGGAACUCUAGAGGGACUGCCGGUGUCAAACCGGAGGAAGGUGGGGAUGACGUCAAGUCAUCAUGGCCCUUACGCCCAGGGCUGCAAACGUCCCACAAUGGCCGGUACAAAGGGUUGCCAACCCGCGAGGGGGAGCUAAUCCCAUAAAGCCGGUCUCAGUUCGGAUUGCAGGCUGCAAUUCGCCUGCAUGAAGCUGGAAUCGCUAGUAAUCGCGGAUCAGCUAUGCCGCGGUGAAUAUGUUCCUGAGCCUUGUACACACCGCCCGUCAAGCCAUGGAAGCUGGGGGUACCCGAAGUCGCUGACCCAACCCGCAAGGGAGGGAGGCGCCGAAGGUAAAACUAGUGACUGGGACUAAGUCGGAACAAGGUAGCCGUAGGAGAACCUGCGGCUG
rnacentral:rRNA from 1 species